CGCGCGUGUGUGUGUGUGUGUGGGAAGUGGGCAGAAGAGAGAAAGAGAAAGAUGAAGCAGACGUGUAGAUGCGACCGGAGCAGAGUUGGAGGAAUAAGUUUAAGUUUUGUUGUGUGUGUGUGUGUGUGUGUGUGUGUGUGUGUGUGUGUGUGUGUGUGUGUGUGUGUG